AAGCGGCAACAGCUCAAAUUUGAAAUCUGGCCCCUCCGGGGUCCGAGUUGUAAUUUGCAGAGGAUGCUUUUGGCGAGGAGCCUUCCAAGUCCCCUGGAAUGGGGCGCCAUAGAGGGUGAGAGCCCCGUAUGGUUGGAUUCCGAGCCUCUGUAAAGCUCCUUCAACGAGUCGAGUAGUUUGGGAAUGCUGCUCUAAAUGGGAGGUAAACCCCUUCUAAAGCUAAAUAUUGGCCAGAGACCGAUAGCGCACAAGUAGAGUGAUCGAAAGAUGAAAAGCACUUUGAAAAGAGAGUUAAAUAGCACGUGAAAUUGUUGAAAGGGAAGCGCUUGUGACCAGACUUGUGCCUGGCAGCUCAGCCGUCCUUAUGGGCGGUGCACUCUGCCGGCUCAGGCCAGCAUCAGUUCGCGGUCGGGGAGAAAAGCGGGGGGAACGUAGCUCUUCGGAGUGUUAUAGCCCUCCGUAAUACCCUUUCCGCGGACUGAGGUUCGCGCAUCUGCAUGGAUGCUGGCGUAAUGGUUAUCAGCGACCCGUCUUGAAACACGGACCAAGGAGUCGUCCUAAUAUGCGAGUGUUAGGGUGUAAAACCCCUGCGCGGAAUGAAAGUAAACGGAGGUGAGAGCUUCGGCGCAUCAUCGACCGAUCCUGAUGUUCUCGGAUGGAUUUGAGUAAGAGCAUAUUGGGCCGGACCCGAAAGAAGGUGAACUAUGCCUGUAUAGGGUGAAGCCAGAGGAAACUCUGGUGGAGGCUCGCAGCGGUUCUGACGUGCAAAUCGAUCGUCAAAUAUAGGCAUGGGGGCGAAAGACUAAUCGAACCUUCUAGUAGCUGGUUUCCGCCGAAGUUUCCCUCAGGAUAGCAGUGUUGAACUUCAGUUUUAUGAGGUAAAGCGAAUGAUUAGGGACUCGGGGGCGCUUAUUAGCCUUCAUCCAUUCUCAAACUUUAAAUAUGUAAGAAGCCCUUGUUACUUCGGUGAACGUGGGCAUUCGAAUGUACAACACUAGUGGGCCAUUUUUGGUAAGCAGAACUGGCGAUGCGGGAUGAACCGAUCGCGGGGAUAAGGUGCCGGAGUGGACGCUCAUCAGACACCACAAAAGGUGUUAUCACAUCUUGACAGCAGGACGGUGGCCAUGGAAGUCGGAAUCCGCUAAGGACUGUGUAACAACUCACCUGCCGAAUGUGAUAGCCCUGAAAAUGGAUGGCGCUCAAGCGUCCCACCCAUACCCCGCCCUCAGGGUAGAAGCUUUGCCCUG
rnacentral:rRNA from 1 species